rnacentral:Y_RNA from 1 species
AGCUGGUCCAAAGGUACUGGAUUAUCAGAACUUACUGAUAGUGCAUUAGUGUCACUAAAAGUUGGUUUUUGACCUCCAGUGCUAAAUUUAGCUUUAA